UACGUAGGGGGCAAGCGUUGUCCGGAUUUAUUGGGCGUAAAGAGCGUGUAGGCGGCCUGAAAGGUCAGCUGUGAAAACUCGAGGCUCAACCUCGAGACGUCGGUUGAAACCAUCUGGCUAGAGUCCGGAAGAGGAGUGUGGAAUUCCUGGUGUAGCGGUGGAAUGCGCAGAUAUCAGGAGGAACACCUAUAGCGAAGGCAGCUCGCUGGGACGACACUGACGCUGAGACGCGAAAGCGUGGGGAGCGAACAGG
rnacentral:rRNA from 1 species